GACGAACGCUAGCGGCGUGCCUAAGCUAUGCAAGUCGAGCGGGGUUUCAGAGUCGAGUUUCCUUCGGGAGACAAAGCACUGAAACCUAGCGGCGAACGGGUGAGUAACACGUGAGCAACCUACCCUGUUGUCCGGGAUAACAGACCGAAAGGCCUGCUAAUACCGGAUACGAAGCUCCUUCGCAUGUUGGAGCUUGGAAAGGGGCAACCCGCAAUGGGAGGGGCUUACGGCCUAUCAGCUAGUUGGUGAGGUAACGGCCCACCAAGGCGACGACGGGUAGCCGACCUGAGAGGGUGACCGGCCACACUGGGACUGAGACACGGCCCAGACUCCUACGGGAGGCAGCAAGCGGGAAUCUUGCACAAUGGGCGCAAGCCUGAUGCAGCGACGCCGCGUGAGGGAUGAAGGCCUUCGGGUCGUAAACCUCUGUUGAUGGGGACGAAGAUCUGACGGUACCCAUCGAG
rnacentral:rRNA from 1 species